AUCCUCACAAAUCCAAUAGCAUUCGAUAUUUUCUCAUUAUAAUAGUUAACUCCUCUGUUCGACUUGCUGAUCUGAAUUAUGGGUUGUUCUUCCACCUUAGAGAAUGCUAUAUCUUAUGUGGAAGGGGAAAAAUAAAUACUAUGGAACUAAAGUAACUAUAAAUGUGUGGGAGCCAAAGAUACAGCAGCAGUACAAGUUCACCUUCUCUCAGAUAUGGCUUCUCAGUGACUUAUUCAGAAAGUAUCUUAACAGCAUAAAAGCUUGUUGGCAGGUACACUCAGUUAACUUCUAGGAAGCGUGAAUUUGAUUUUCAUUAUCUUUUCUCUAUAAUUAUUUGUGUGUUUUAUUACGGAUUAGCCGGAUUUAUAUGGUGACAAACUGACAACAAUACAAAGGCUCUUUACUUACUGGACCGUAGGUUCUUUAGAAAAAAAAAAUUAUGUUAAUGUUCUUAAAAAUUUGAAGCUUCUUAAAAUAAAUAUAGUAUUAUUUGUAUAAACUUUAUAUUUUUACUAUGUAAAAUUGAAAUAGAAAUAAUAAGAAUAUUUCUAUUAUUACAUUUUCUUAAUUAUUUUUAUUAAUAUUGUAUUAUUUAACGAUAGAGAAUAAUGAAAGUUGUUGUCAUUUUAAUUCAAAUCAAAAAUAUUUAUUAACAAUAACAAUAUGAUCUCAAAAUUAUUUCCAUUAUUUUUUGUUUAUAAUAUUAUUUUCAAUACAUAAUAAUUUUAAAUGUUUCAUAAGUUAAUAUAAAUUCAUGUAAAAUAAUUUUUAUAAUAACUUCCCGCCCGGACCGAUACUAGUAUAUUAUUAUAAAACAUUUACGUUAUAACAUAUUAGAUCACAGAAAAUCUCGGUUGAUAAUGAACUCAUUUAAUAACCGUAAUCUAUCAUAUCUCGGUUGCAAAUCUUAAUUAUUAUUUUUUGUAACUUGCUUCCUUAAAUAAAAUAUAAAGACCCAAAAUGUUUUACGAGCCCACGGUUAUAGUUAAACACAUGCAUAAGUUUGAAUCACAUAAAGAGCUCCUUUUUUUUUUGUCACUGAUCAAAUUCAUUAGAAAGUAAAGAAAUGUUGCGGUACAAGAAAUGGGCCGUGUAGCCCAUUUUGGUAGAUCCAUUACACAUAAAGAAAUGAAAGAAGAGCCUCUUUGGCUAACCCAUCGGAAACAGUGUUUUCCGAUCGAGGAAGAUGAAAGAAGGAGAUAGAUGCGAACUCAGAGGAGAUCACUCGGAUAUUGUCGACGAUUCCGAUGACUUCUUUAGACGGAGAUUUGCCAGUUAUAGCUCGUACGAAGGUCUGAGUCGUCGCUCCCGUGAUUAGAUUUGUUCCAGAGAAGGUCCAUCCUAGGCCGGCGAUCUUGUCGGUUCCUUUCUUUGCUGCAUCCGUUUUGAGUGUGAUUGCUCCCGCGGAAUCCGUAGCUCCUGAUUCACGGAGGGUGAAGCCGCUUGCUUUUGGAGGUUGUCUUUUGCUAACCUCAACCCUUUCAAAUAUGUUUCUUCAGGACUGAAGACUCUAUCUUCGAAAAUCAGAGAGUUUCGAGCUAUCCAAAUCGCCCAGCAUAUCCAAGGGAGUAGGUUUAGGGCGUAGCCCGUCGGAGGAGGGCAUGUGGCUGAUCUGAACUUAACAAUGGCGUCUUUGAAGGAGGCAUCUGCAGCUAUGUGAACUGCGUUUCGUAGUGGUUUGUUCAAAGAGGGAGGGCUCGACCACAGGAAGGCCUUCAUUUUAGGAGAUGGAGGCCGUGUAGUACCCUGAUUUGUGGAGUAUACUCCCGAGGAGGUAGCAUGCCAAAUAUAAGAGUCCUCUGCCCCCUUCACGCUUGGUUGCAGGCUAAGGAUCUGAGGCUGAUUGGAAGUUGGAAGCAGGACAUUGGGUAUGUUGGGAUGGCACUGAGGACAGACUUUAGCAUUGUGAGCUUUCCUGCUCGUGAUAACCUCUUGGAGGACCAGCUUACUGCCUUUUGACGGAUCCUAUCUACUAUAGAGGUGGUGUCUUGCUUGAGAAGGUGAUCGAGGACUUGGUCUUAUUGAUCAUUUGUCCUGAAGCUCUUCCAUAGUCUUUCAGGAUCCGCAGGAGAGUUGCACAAUUGGUUCUGAUGCUAGGCAAAAGAACAUUGUGUCGUCCGCGAACAACAGGUUGCUGACUCUGGGGCUCCCACGUGCAACCAUGACCCCCUGUAGCAGGCCCUUUUUCUCAGCACUCUUGCACAAGCCUGACAACACCUCGCUACAGAGAAUGAAGAAUAAGUUAAUAUAUCAUAUAGAGUUAUUCUUGGGUGAAAAAUUAUGGAGAUAUAUACACUAUAGAGAGUGAAAAAUUAUGGAGAUAUAUUUUAUAAGUUCAUGACUUUUUUUCAAAAGCGAAAAAAAGAGAAUAGUUUUAUUAUUUUUGGGGAUAUUAAUUAGUUUAUUAAUAAAUAGAGGUAUAUUCUCUAA